AGGUCCCGCCUGCCCUGUGACUCUAAGUUUAACGGCCGCGGUAUCUUAACCGUGCGAAGGUAGCGCAAUCACUUGUUUCUUAAAUAGGGACCUGUAUGAAUGGCAUAACGAGGGCUUAGCUGUCUCCUUUCUCAAGUUAAUGAAAUUGACCUCCCCGUGCAGAGGCGGGGAUACACCCAUAAGACGAGAAGACCCUAUGGAGCUUUAGGCACAAAGACUGCCCAUAUAAAAACUUCCUUAAAAAGAAACUAACCUUAUGAUCACAGUCUGUAUGCCUUUGGUUGGGGCGACCGCGGGGAAACAAAAAACCCCCAUGUGGAAUGGGGCCACCGGCCCUAAAAACAAGAGCUCCCGCUCUAAUUAACAGAAUUUCUGACCUUACUGAUCCGGCUUCGGCCGAUCAACGAACCCAGUUACCCUAGGGAUAACAGCGCAAUCCCCUUAUAGAGCCCAUAUCGACAAGGGGGUUUACGACCUCGAUGUUGGAUCAGGAUAUCCUAAUGGUGCAGCCGCUAUUAAGGUUCG
rnacentral:rRNA from 1 species